AGCGAACGCUGGCGGCAGGCUUAACACAUGCAAGUCGAGCGGGCAUCCUUGUGGUGUCAGCGGCAGACGGGUGAGUAACGCGUGGGAACGUGCCCUUCGGUUCGGAAUAACUCAGGGAAACUUGAGCUAAUACCGGAUACGUGCGAGAGCAGAAAGGUUUAUCUGCCGAAGGAUCGGCCCGCGUCUGAUUAGCUAGUUGGUGAGGUUAUGGCUCACCAAGGCGACGAUCAGUAGCUGGUCUGAGAGGAUGAUCAGCCACACUGGGACUGAGGCACGGCCCAGACUCCUACGGGAGGCAGCAGUGGGGAAUAUUGGACAAUGGGGGCAACCCUGAUCCAGCCAUGCCGCGUGAGUGAUGACGGCCUUAGGGUUGUAAAGCUCUUUUCUCCGGGACGAUAAUGACGGUACCGGAGGAAUAAGCCCCGGCUAACUUCGUG
rnacentral:rRNA from 1 species